rnacentral:rRNA from 1 species
GACGAACGCUGGCGGCGUGCUUAACACAUGCAAGUCGAACGGGAGUAUUGAAGAAGCUUGCUUUAGAGAUACUUUAGUGGCGGACGGGUGAGUAACGCGUGAGGAGCUGUCCUAUGCAGGGGGACAACAGCUGGAAACGGCUGCUAAUACCCCAUAAGCCGAGAGGUAAAAGGAUCAAUCCGGCAGAGGAGGUACUCGCGUCCUAUCAGCUAGUAGGUGAGGUAACGGCUCACCUAGGCGAAGACGGGUAGCCGGCCUGAGAGGGCGAACGGCCACACUGGAACUGAGAUACGGUCCAGACUCCUACGGGAGGCAGCAGUGGGGAAUAUUGGGCAAUGGGGGAAACCCUGACCCAGCGACGCCGCGUGGGUGAAGAAAUCCUUCGGGAUGUAAAGCCCUGUUGUAUGGGAAGAGCGGAAGACGGUACCAUACGGAGGAAGCCCCGGCAAACUACGG